UCUUGAUUGGUCUAGUGGUUAGGAUACCUGCUUGUCAUCUAUAAGAUAAAUCGCAGGUGGCCGGGGUUCGAUUCCCCGAUUGGGAG